AUGAAAGCUGACUGAAAGCAACUAAGCAGAUGAAGAUCUUUGCUACUGAAAACUACAAGGCCAAUAGUAUUUUUCUGAUGUCAUUCAAGAGUCAGAUCUUUGGAUACCAAAUAUCAUCUGUAACACAUAUAAACAAACCUAUACUUUACACGGAGCCUUGCUUUUCUGGAGGGCUCAUCCUCUUAUGAUGGUCCCUUGGGAGGAAGGACUAUCCUGGGUUUUGACGUCAUACUUUAUGGGUCUGACAGCUGGGAACAUCAGGCCCCACCCACCACUCUCCUUUCAUUGGCUGCGCUGUUGUCAAGCGCAUUUAAUAAGAAAACAAGUUGCUGCUCAGCCAAUCAGGACAGAGCUAGAUUUCCCCUGACAUGCCACAGCGUCUUAUCUACUGGUGACAUCACCCAUGGCCCUUUAAACGGUAGACCGCAGACAAGUUUAAAUGGCUUUAUGAAACACAGAGUACACCUAGAACAAAAAAAAAAAAAAGGUUUCAGAUCUGCCUGUUUGUGGAAGUUUGGUUGACAGUUGGCCUACUUACAGGCUCUUUAAAAAGUUUGUGACAGUGAAAACCUUAUGGCACAUUAGCCACAAUGCAUUCUGUGUUCCACAUGUUUUUUUCAACCUAUAGGCUACAACUCUCAAAAUAGUUUUGCAGUUGUUGUUUUUGAUCAUUAAAGAUACUUAUUGGGAUUGAAGGGGACGCACAGUUGGAGGGCACGUAAAAGUCGACUAUGAAUAUAUUAGGAAAAAGUGAGAGAAGGAUUUUCAUCUUCUAUAAAAGCAGCUAUGCAAAAAUAAUAUUAAAAGAUAUUACAUGUCUGGUAUGCGGUAGGAGUUCUGCCCUCCAUGAGGCUACAUUUAUUUUUUCAGUUGAAUAUGAAAUGUUAUCCUGUAUGUACCACACCAAUCUGUAUGUGUAUUUCCUUAUAAGUAUACUCAGGAGUCAAUUUAGACAAUUUCCUGUGUUUAUUUUAAUUGUUGAAAAGUGGUCAUGCAAUCCCCCGUCAUUCCUGUCUGAAAGUGAGGCCAAACUAUUUGUAGCCUUUGUAUCAGUUCAUGAUUUUGGGCUCUUUUUCUACAUUUGUGUUAAGUCAAAAAUACUAACAAAUAAAUUACACAGAAACUUUUUUUAUUUUUCAUCAUAAAAAUGUAAAUGAAUGGGAUAAGCUUAACUGGCAACCAUCUUCUCCAUGCUAACAAUCCAAAUGAUUGACUAUAACUUGGCAGCCUCUGUGUAGUUUAUCAGGAACCAUGAAGGCCAGUUACUGUAUGUACUUUGUCAAGGAGAGUCAGAAGUCACAAAAAUCCAACAUUCAGGUAUUCUGAUAAAUAUGCAAUGCUAAAAAUUUGGGGGAAAUAUACAAUCUCAAAACAGAAAUAAAGGGCUGCAAUUUAAGUUAUGAGGGGACAGAGCUAACCCCUUGAGCCACUGAGGAUAAUUAUUAAAAUCCCUGUGAUUAAGUACUAUAAACAGAUCAUGCCAUGAUGCAAAACAUUGGCAGCCUCUGUCUCAUACCAUUGGAUCAACAUUUCCUAUAAACUGAGGUGGCGAGGUGGAAUCCAGGUGAGGGGGAAGACAGUAAUAACACUGCGACA